rnacentral:lncRNA from 1 species
AUAGAUCCUUGCUUGGGGUACUCAUAUGUUGAGUUUGAGGUGCUGAGGUGCAUUCAGGUAGGUCUAUUGUGUGUUCAAGCGCUUCCAAAAGACAGACCAGUAAUGUCAUCAGUGGUUGUCAUGUUAAGCAAUGAAGGAGUAACAUUACCUCAACCAAAGGAGCCAGGAUUCUUUACAGAACGAAGUUCCAUGGACGAUACCAUAAUUGACGAAGGUAGAAGUAGCCAGACAGGAAGCAGUAUUACCAUUUCGACAGUGGAAGCUAGAUAACUGACACAUGACAACUUGGACUCAUAAUUAGGAUUUAACGCAUUUUGACAUGGAUGCUGAUGAAUUUUCUUGCAAACAGACAGAAAGCCAUAACCUCAAUGGGAGGUUGAUUCAGAAAAGUAAAAUGUAAAUCUAGACUAACUACUGUUUACAGAGUAAUGCACAAGCAUCAUAAACAUGUAGUAUUGCAUUGUAAGAGGCCGGCUGCCACGAGAAUUGUAUCCAAUUGGUCAAAUAACUAAAGUCUUGUAUGUGAAUUAUAUGUUUCUGCUGAAUAUUUUAUGCAGCUGUGGUUCCUUUCCUUCCAAGAAGCAUUGCUGAAUUUUAGCAUGAGUUGCCAAAUUUUUGUUUAUCGCAAUCGUGACCACACCCAAGAAGGAUGUCUCCUUAGUUGGGCUGUUUAUCAGAUAAUUAAUGGGUUCGUUAGAACAUGAGAAUGAGAGAAAAUAAUUUUUCUGGUUUUUAACUUGUAUUUUUCUUUGUAUUACUAACAACGUAUUUAUACAAGAGGAUGGAUUGCUAACCAAGCUCAUCGGUAAUUACAAGUAGGCAGCUGGUGCCAUUAAUCCUACAAUAGACAGCUGGUGCUAGCUUUGGUUUCCAACUCCUGGAGAUUGCAGCAACAGCCUCCUAAAGUCAAGUCAAUUUAAUGCUUUCACAACACAAGUCAACAAGUACCACCUUUCAUCCUUCCAAUUGAAACAAUACCUCCACCAUUUUCUUUUCUACCUCUAACAUUUCAUUAUUAAUUCUCUCAUGGAUGUAAUAGUAAUAAACUCCAUCUCCCUUAUUUCCAAGUCUUCUCCUUUCUUCUUCUUCAUAUUCUUCUUCUCUCUCUCUCUCUCAUAAAUUUAGGCUAGGUGAGUCAUCCGUUCAUAUAUAUUGGUGGAUUUGAAAGCUUGAGGCAAGGGGGGAAGAAUGGGAGGAGGGUGGGUUGAUGCCCUCCACAUUUUAGAUUCUGUUUUAGGUUUUUGGCUUACCAGGGUAUUUUGGUAAUUUAAACAUAGGGUUUAGGGUAGGUGAGUCAUCCUUUCAUAAUGGUGGAUUUGAAAGCUUGAGGCAAGUGGAGAAGAAUGGGAGGAGGGUGGGUUGAUGCCCUUCACAUUUCAGAUUCUGUUUAUUGUUUUUGGCCUACAAGGGUAUUUUGCUAAUGUUGACCCAAAAUUUAGAAACUAUUUCCUACAUGUUCAUUGAGUCGACUAGUGUCGUACUACCUAUGAAUCAUAAUGGUCUCACUUCAAUGUCUUAAAUGUCCUUUGAAAAAUUCACAAAAUGUUAUGUAAGGGCAUUUUUGUCAAACUUGUAAUUAAACACACUAAAUCCAAUAGUCUCAAUCUAAAAUCACUUGAUAAAAUGUCCAUAAUUAUUCUUCACCAUAAUAUAUAUUUUUUUCUUCACUGAAAUACGAAAGUCCACUUUUAAUUUGUCAAGGUAUUACAUUUUCAAUCCGUUUUCUUAUCGUGUCAUGUCAUGUUAACCCAUUAAGAAAAGCGGGUUGACAUGAAAACGACACGAAUGCCUAGUCUAAUUUGCGGGGGCCGCUUGGGGUUUGUAAGAGACACGUCUCUGUAAUUUCUGCUCUGUAAAGAAAGAAAGAAAAAAAAAGAAAAAAGAAAGAGAGAGAAGGAAACGAGAGAAGAAACAAAAAAGAAUAGAGAGAAAUUCUAUUCCUUCAAAAAACAACUUAUAAAAACAUUAUAAAUAUCAAAUGGUGUAGCACAUAAUCACAAAGUUGUAUCAGAAAUUGCCACUCCUGUGAUUAUUUAGGGAUUUAGAGAUCAUCUGGCAAAAGUUUCAAGCGUAGAAAAUUGAAAGUCAGCUGGCAACUUAGCAUAGGAAAUAAGGUGGUCAAAAUAGCAUUAUAAUAAUUGUAACAUUGAGAAAGGCUGGCUUCAAAGUCCGAAGUUUCAGUCACCUUCCCAUUUCUGGAAAGGAACACAAAUGAAGGUCCUUGCAUUAAUCCUCUCUACCUAUCUACUCCAUUUUUUAGUCUUACAAUUGUCCGGAGCAGCUGAUACAAUCUCUGCUGCACAAUCCAUCACCAGCACUAAUACCUUGGUUUCUUCCGGCCAAAGCUUCGAAUUAGGACUCUUCUCCCCGGGCAAUUCAGAGGCCUGGUAUUUAGGAAUAUGGUACAAGAAUUUUCCAACUAUUGUUGUAUGGGUUGCCAACAGAGAAAAUCCAGUUGCAGAUUCACAUGGAUCCUUGAAAUUAUCCAAAAAUGGAAGUCUUGUCCUUUUAGAUCAAAUGAACAAUACUAUUUGGUCUUCCACUUCUUCCCAAGUAGCAGAAGACCCUGUUGCACAACUUUUGGAGAAUGGAAACCUGGUUGUCAGAGAAAAGGAUACAACAGAUUCAGAAAGCUACAUAUGGGAAAGUUUCAAUUUGCCAUCAGACACUCUGCUACCAGAAAUGAAGGUUGGAUGGGACUUCAGAACAGGCGUCAACAGAUUCUUGACUUCUUGGAAAAAUGCUAGUGACCCAUCUCUUGGAGAAUAUACCUAUGGGAUUGAUAAUCUGAUGUUGCCUCAGCUUGUUGUUGCCAAAGGAUCAAAGAAAUUGUUCCGUACCGGGCCUUGGAAUGGUGUUCAAUUUUCUGGUACUCCUGAUUCUGGGAACAAACGAAUUGUGAAACCAAUCUAUGUGUAUGAUACCAAUGGGUUCUAUUAUAUGUAUGAGGCUACUGAGAGUUCUAUUCUAACAAGAGUGAAGCUGUCUGAAACUGGUUUGGCCCAGCGGCUAGUGCUGAAUGAAGGAAGCACUGAAUGGGCUGUUAUGUAUACUUUGCUGAAUGACAGGUGUGACAAUUACAGGGAGUGUGGAGCAAAUGGAAUUUGCAGAACUUCCAAGUCUCCAAGUUGUGAGUGCCUGCAGGGGUUUGUACCAAAAUCGCAAAACGAAUGGGAUGUGCUUAACUGGGAAAGUGGGUGCAUUAGGCAGACACCACUGGAUUGCCAGAAGGGAGAAGGGUUUUUGAAAGUUCGAAACGUGAAAUUGCCAGACCUGUUGGAGUUUUGGGCAAACACAAAAAUGAGUGUGCAGGAAUGUGAGGCAGAGUGCUUGAGGAAUUGUUCUUGUGUAGCUUAUGCUAGUUCAGAUAUCCGUAACGGAGGAAGUGGCUGUCUGAUGUGGUUUGGCGACCUAAUUGAUAUGCGAGAGUUCCUUGAAGCAGAUGUUGAGCAAGAUAUACACAUUAGGAUGCCAUUUUCGGAACUAGGUAAGUCAUUGUUUUGCUUUUAGAAUGUAUUAGAUCCUGAUCCUGUUAAUUGAAGCCCUUAAUCAUUAACAUGAAGUACAUAAGGUUAGAGGAAUUUUGGCAUGCCUAAAUGUUAUCCAUUACAUAACAGAAUCUUUAGGUGGUACCGGCAAGAAGGACAAAAGGGUUAUACUUAUCUCGGUCAUAUCAGCAGUUUCUGUGCUUCCACUUCUGGCUUUGUUAUGCUGGUGUAUACUUCUGAAGAAGAGAGGAAGGAAUGUAUCCACAUCUACAGGUAAGCUUGCAUUUGCAGGAAUCAAAACCUUUGUAUCCUGGAGGAAAUCUUAUGUAUUAAGGCCAUUGUCAUUGGAUAAUAAUGUUUUUCCUUUGUUCUUUUUCUCUUUUUCAUGUUACAGGCUCAAGAUCAAUUAAGGAGGACUGGGAGUUGCCACUGUUUGAUUUUAAGACAAUUGCAACCGCCACCAAUAAUUUCUCUCACACAAACAAACUAGGAGAGGGAGGUUUCGGUCCAGUUUACAAGGUAACGGAGCUAUAGUUGACGUUAGUGUGCGUGAACUCAUGUGCUAACAUAUUUAUACUAAAUUUUCAGGCCAACCUAACCCGAGAAGAAUUCAUAGCUGUAAAGAGACUCUCAAAAGAUUCUGGGCAAGGUAUUGAAGAGUUUAAGAAUGAAGUUACAAUGAUAGCCAACCUCCAACACUGGAAUCUUGUUAAACUUUUGGGCUGCUGCAUUGAAAGAGAAGAAAGGAUGCUUAUCUAUGAGUACAUGCCCAACAAAAGCUUGGACUGCUUUAUUUUCGGUAUAAGAUUAUGUCUUUCAUGUUUCGUAUUAAUUACGUAACCUAAAUGUUCAUUUACUACUUUUCAGUGAAAUUUAUGCAAUUAAACAGAAUCCUAUUUAGCUCUGUUUAUGUCACAAAGGAGGAAAACUGAACCAAAUGAGCUGAUGUGAUGGAAAACUUGUGCAGAUCAAAAUAGAAAGGUUUUUCUGAAUUGGCAAAAGCGAUUGAACAUUAUCAUGGGAAUUGCUCGAGGACUUCUCUACCUCCACCAAGACUCCAGAUUAAAAAUCAUUCAUAGAGACCUUAAGAGUAGCAACAUCUUACUUGAUGAUGAGCUGAACCCCAAAAUAUCUGACUUUGGCAUAGCAAGGAUUUUUGGACGCAAUCAAACCGAAGCAAAAACAAAACGAGUAAUUGGGACAUAGUAAGUUACACUAACCUAGACCAUGAAAGGAAUCUUCAUUUCUGCAACAGCAACUAAUUAAGUACUUAAGUUAUGUUUUUUUGCAUGCAGUGGAUAUAUGUCUCCUGAGUAUGCAAUUGAUGGAAAGUUUUCAGAGAAAUCCGAUGUGUUCAGUUUUGGAGUGCUUUUGUUAGAGAUAGUAAGUGGCAGAAAGAACAGAGGGUUUCAUCAUCCAGAUCACCAUCACACUCUUCUGGGACAUGUAGGUAUUUAAUGUUUAUAUGUGUGUGCUAAUUUUGAUCCUCUAGUUUUUCCAUGGGUAUGACUAAAGCCAUAUAAAUUUGAAUUGUUCCAGGCAUGGUUACUGUGGAAUGAAAAUAAGGGUUUGGAGCUAAUAGAUCCUUGCUUGGGGUACUCAUAUGUUGAGUUUGAGGUGCUGAGGUGCAUUCAGGUAGGUCUAUUGUGUGUUCAAGCGCUUCCAAAAGACAGACCAGUAAUGUCAUCAGUGGUUGUCAUGUUAAGCAAUGAAGGAGUAACAUUACCUCAACCAAAGGAGCCAGGAUUCUUUACAGGAAGAAGUUCCCUGGACGAUACCAUCAUCGACAAAGGUAGAGGUAGCCAGACAGGAAGCAGUAUUACCAUUUCGACAGUGGAAGCUAGAUAACUGACACAUGGGAACUUGGACUCGUAAU